AGUAAUCACAGGUCAGCAUACUGUGGUGAAUACGUUCCCGGGCCUUGUACACACCGCCCGUCACACCAUGAGAGUUGAGAAUACCCGAAGCCCAUGUCAAAGUGGUCGAAGGUAGGCUUGAUGAUUGGGGUGAAGUCGUAACAAGGUAGC
rnacentral:rRNA from 1 species